GACGAACGCUGGCGGCGUGCUUAACACAUGCAGGUCGAACGGAAAGGCCCUGCUUUUGUGGGGUGCUCGAGUGGCGAACGGGUGAGUAACACGUGAGUAACCUGCCCUUGACUUUGGGAUAACUUCAGGAAACUGGGGCUAAUACCGGAUAGGAGCUCCUGCUGCAUGGUGGGGGUUGGAAAGUUUCGGCGGUUGGGGAUGGACUCGCGGCUUAUCAGCUUGUUGGUGGGGUAGUGGCUUACCAAGGCUUUGACGGGUAGCCGGCCUGAGAGGGUGACCGGCCACAUUGGGACUGCGAUACGGCCCAGACUCCUACGGGAGGCAGCAGUGGGGAAUAUUGCACAAUGGGCGGAAGCCUGAUGCAGACACGCCGCGUGCGGGAUGACGGCCUUCGGGUUUUAAACCGCUUUCGCCUGUGACGAAGCGUGAGUGACGGUAAUGGGUAAAGAAGCACCGGCUAACUACGUG
rnacentral:rRNA from 1 species